AAAAAAGUAGCAGUGCGUUUACAGAAUUCGUGUGGACGAUCGGCCCAAACGAUGCUAAAAAUGUGCGUUUGCACCAAAAAACGUCUCCGUGUGGAUGGAGCCUGAAUGCACUGUGUGAACA